rnacentral:lncRNA from 1 species
UUAAUGCAUAAUCCUAAAAUUCCUUACCAUUACUAGGUUUUGAAACAGAAAUGUUUAGGCUAACUCCCUCAAAUUGCAAACCACACAAAUUUUUAUGAUACUUGUGUAAGGGCUACUAUCCAGCAUUGAAAACAAAUAAACAACAUCAGUAAAUAUAAAAAACAUUAUAAAGUCACAUACUUUCUCCAUCUCUAGGAGAUUGUCAAUGCAUAUUAAAUAGUAAAGGUUAUGAAAGCCCAUUCACUAAAGAGAUUUGUCUCAUUUUGGUUAAUUCAGAGUUCAACAAAAUUAUUUAGAAGACUUUUUUUUUGUAGGAAAUCAAUUAACAUCUCGUGGAAUAAUGGUUUGGAACAUAAUCUAGAAGCUCUUAACUAGACAUAUUCUUACUAGGACUGGAACCAAAAUAAGAAUGUCCACUAAUAUUUAUUUUACACUGUUCUGGAAGCUCUACUCCAUGUAAUCACAGAAACCCAGAGGCAGGGUGAAGGGAUGUAUUAAUACUGAAAUAGAGAAGAAAAAAAAUCAUUAUUUACAGAUGAUACAGUAGUUCUCCUUGCAAACACAGCAACCAGAGAAAAACUAUUAGAACUAAUAGGAGAAUUAAAAAUGGUAACCAGCUACAACAUGGAUACAGAAAAUCACCAACAGUACAUCAGCAAAAACAAAACAAAA